UUAACUAAUUUAAAGUUAUCCUUCUGGAAGAAUUGCUAUUUUAAUCACCAGUGUGACACUAGGACAGAAUACUUAUGUUGUUCAUGAUGAUACUAAAGAAUCACAGAUACUCGCAGUCUUUGAUGCAACUGGUUGUGGAACUUGCUAUUUCAUGGAUGGAAAAAUUAGGUUAAAUUAUGAUCAACAGGGCGGAAUUGAAUUAGAUUUUGACUGGGUCAAGAAGAAGAUCUUGGAUCUGGAAGGAUCAUGAAACCCACGUCCAUGCUCCGCCUUUCCAGCCCAUAGUUUUUGGCAUGAACUACUUUCUAAGUGUCCGAGUGAUGUCACAGGAGAAUAUAGCCUUAUCCCUAAC
rnacentral:sRNA from 1 species